CGGAGGAGCAUGUGGUUUAAUUCGAUGAUACGCGAGGAACCUUACCUGGGCUCGAACGUAAGAUGACUGUAGGUGAAAGCUUACAUCUCUUCGGAGCAUUUUACGAGGUGCUGCAUGGUUGUCGUCAGCUCGUGCCGUGAGGUGUCGGGUUAAGUCCCAUAACGAGCGCAACCCCUACCUUUAGUUGCCAUCAGGUUAAGCUGGGGACUCUAAAGGAACUGCCUACGCAAGUAGUGAGGAAGGCGGGGAUGACGUCAAAUCAGCACGGCCCUUACGUCCAGGGCUACACACGUGCUACAAUGGCCGAUACAGAGGGCAGCUACCUGGUGACAGGAUGCAAAUCUCCAAAGUCGGUCUCAGUUCGGAUCGGAGUCUGCAACCCGACUCCGUGAAGUUGGAUUCGCUAGUAAUCGCGCAUCAGCCAUGGCGCGGUGAAUACGUUCCCGGGCCUU
rnacentral:rRNA from 1 species